UAACUCUAGGGAAAACUCUGACCCAUAGGUAGAGCCUAGGGCAGCCAGAGGCUUUCUGCUUCAACUCUCUGCAGCUUGGAGAACCACUGUCUGUAGGAGGUCAGCUACAAAUGGGCUGGGGGGUGCAUGGCAGUGGGAACUGUUGCUGCAGUAAUGGGCCCUUUCACAAUAGCACUGUUUUGUCAUUUUUCACCCAGAUUUCCGUUGGUUAAACUCAGCCUUAACUUCCUCAUUUAUGUUUCCUCUUGAAGACAUCAAGGACCCUUCAAAACACACGAUGUUCCUGCCCCAGGCAAAAAGCCCAGUUACCUCUGGCCACUGCAGUUUGGCUCAUCACCAGGGAACCUUUGCCUCCUCCAAGACCAAGGCACCACUCCAGUAACAGGAGCCAACUGAAGCUUGGAACUCCAAGGAAUGCUAAAGCUAUAGCCCGAGGACCUCUGGGGCCAUAUCUCCCAGGAAGAUCUUGCCUCCUCACUGAAGCUCCUGGCCUGGCCUCCUGCAGUGCCACACUCCGUGUAUUUGACAAGCUGAGUUGGACACUCCAUGUGGUAGAGUGUCAGUUUGUCAAAUACCCCAAGUGCGGCAUAUGCCUAACAGCUCCAAGCCAGAGCAGUUGGGAUACAACAAAUAAAUUGCCAGCUGAAUACAAGAUCACUCUCCAAACACAAACUAAACUUUCACAGGUUAUUUUCAGUGACUUGAGGGAACUGAAGCAUUGUAUCUGAGGGUGCCAGGGGAGAAGUGAGGCAACUCUUGAAGCCACAGAUCUGGAAUGUUUCUACACACAUUGUCAGAGCCCAAGCAGGACAUAAUGGUCUUAAAAAGCAUUAUUUACACUAGCCAAGAUAUGGAAGCAACAUAAGUGUUCAUGGAUAGACAAAUGGAUACAGAAAAAGUGGUGUAUAUAUGUACAAUGGAAUGUUAAAUAGCCAUAAAAGAGGAUACAAUCAAGCCAUUUGAGACAACAUGGAGGGACAUAGAGGAUAUUAUGGACACCACCCCCCUCCACACACACAAACUGUCUUCUAUGGAAUAAAGAUAUCUCCAUUACAAGGACUGUGAUUGAAAGGAUCUCCAAAAGAAAGGAUUGCUCACCUUUGACCACAAACUUCACAAUGUCACUGCGCUGCUCAGAUCCUACCCGGCCCUUGGCAGUACAGAAAUAGGAGCCGGAGUCAGCCACCACAGCAUGCUUGAAGAGUAAGGUUUCACCAAAGGUACAUUGGAAAAUCCCAUCCCAAGGGGUAAUGGAGAGGAAAAUGUCUGGAGAGGAAAAGGAUAUGAAUAAAAUCCUAGAGCUGGCUAUGGUAAGGAUGGUAGUAGGAACAAAAGGAGAUUGAUCCUUGGAAUGCUGGGGAAGGAAACAGGGGGAAGGCGAGUUGGGGGUGUUGAGAGAGCCAUCACCUCCCUUUAGAAAUUUCCAUUCAUAAAGUUGUAUUUUGAAGACUUUGUGUUUUACUUAAAUCUGACCAAGAGUGAGGGAUCACAUUUAGACAAUUUAUUUAUGUCUGUACCAGAAGAAUGAGCUUGAAACUGUGAGAUGUAACUGAAUAAAAGCCUUUUAUGUAGCUCAGAUUCCCAGGCUUCAGUCAAAGAGGUGGAAGACCGGAUGGGGGCAUCCUCCCAGAAUUUAUUGCCAAGUACCAGGGUUUCUAUCAGUGGGGAGACUAAAGUCAAGUCUCUAGUCUGUACCUUCAGCAGAAAUUCUUAGAGCAUAACUAGCAUAUUUUGGACAAGAUAAAAGCCUUGAGUAGAAAAGAAUAAACAAACAUGAGUCCAUGUUGUUAAAUCCACCACAUAUUCUCUGGAGGGUUUCAGAUUGUGCAGGAAGCAGAACUCAAACCCAUGAAUGGGAGCAUAAUAGGGGUGGAUUUUGGUUUGCUCUAAAAAUGAACUUUAUAAUUAUCCAUAUCUGUUUAUUGAUGGACUAAGUUGUCAGGGGGAAAUUCUGAGCUUUGUUUAUGUCUUGGACAGUAUUACUCUUUAAGGUACCUUCCAAUCCUAGAUGGUUCAAUACUAAUUGUAAUGGAAAUGGAAGUUAAAUAAUUACAUUUUCUAGCUGGUGGUGAACUAUCACCAGAUGGUGGUGAGUUUCACUGUGCUAUUGCUAGUGUAGGCCUCCAUAUGCAUGCAAAUACAGCUUAUCAUCAUCAUGAACACAAACGUGUCACUUGCAAACACACAUAUAGGGCCUUAAGUCCCAUGAAAACCAUCUGAGCCUCUCAGUUUAAUGUGCUUUUUCCCAAUAAUCUUCCAGCUCUCCCAAAUCUGUCUCCCCUCCUCUGAAAAGCAUUCUCACACUUUUCUCCUGGACAACAAAGCAGCAUUCUGCUGUGAGGACAUUUGGAACAGCUGAACAUGCCUUUGUCUAUAUGGAGAGGAAGAAGCAGGGGGCAGAGAGAGAGGAAGAGACAGAAUCAUGCUCAGGGUGAAGCCUAAUGAUGGGCUCAAUCUCAUGAACUGUAAGAUCAUGGCCUGAGCCAAAAUCAAGAGUCCAAUGCUUAACUGACUGAGCCACCGGGGGCCCCUGAAUUAUUCUUGUAUUCCUGUCAAUACCACUUGAUUUUGGGAUACUCCAAGGAACAAAUCAAAGCAUACCUGGUGAAGGGUCCAAAAUAUCACUAUGAGUAGGGUAAUAGAAUAAUAAAAGUCACAACAACAGAGAGAAAAUAACAUUCUCUGAAAAAAAAAAUCUCUUGAAGGGCCAGACCCUGGACAGUGGAUGACGACCCUCCUUUAACAUAGCAGUGCUCGUACGUGCAGAGCACACAACAAACAUUUAAAAUGCAUAAGGAACAGAAAACUAGCCAAAAUGAUGAAACGGAAGAAUUCUGCUCAAAAGAAAUUCCAGGAAGUAGCGACAGCUAACGCAUUGAUCAAAACGAUUUAAGCAAUAUAACGGAACAAGAAUUUAGAAUAAUAUCAUAAAAUUAAUUGCUGGUCAAGAAAAAAAGCAUAGAAGACAGCAGAGAAUCUACUGCUACAGAGAACAAGGGACGAAAAAAUAGUCAUGAUGAAUUAAAACCUGCUAUAAAUGAGGUGCAAAAUAAAAUGGAGGUGGCAACAGUGCGGAUUGAAGAGGCAGAAGAGAGAAUAGGUGAAUUAGAAGAUAAAAUUAUGGAAAAAGAGGAAGAUGAAAAGAAGAGAGAUAAAAAAAAUCCAGGAGUAUGAGGAGAGAAUUACAGAACGAAGUGAUGAAACCCAACAGAACAUUAUCCAUAUCAUAGGAAUUCCAGAAGAAGAGAGAGGGAAAGGGGUAGAAGGUGUACUUGAACAAAUCAUAGCUGAGAACUUCCCUGAUCUGGGGAAGGAAACAGGCAUUGAAAUCCAAGAGGCACAGAGACCUCCCUUCUGGUGCAACUUGAUUUUCUACACUACAUAUCAUAGUGAAACUGGCAAAUUACAAAGAUGAAGAGAGAAUUCUGAAAGCAGCUUGGGAUACACGGCCCCUAACAUACAAAGGUAGACACAUAAGGGUAGUAGCAGACCUAUGUACUGAAACUUGGCAGGCCAGAAAGGAAUGGCAGGAAAUCUUCAAUGUGAUGAAAAGGAAAAAUAUGCAGCCAAGAAUUCUUUACCCAGAAAGUCUGUCAUUCAGAAUAGAAGGAGAGAUAAAUGUUUUCCCAAACAAAAACUGAAGGAAUUCAUCGCCAUUAAACCAGGCCUACAAUUGAUUUUAAGGGGUAUUCUGUGAGUGAAAUGUUGCAAGGACCACAAAGUACCAGAGGCAUCACUAGAAGCAGGAAACUUACAGAUAUCACAAUGACUAUAAACCCAUAUCUUUCAAUAAUAACACUGAAUGUAAAUGCUCCAACCAAAAGACAUAGAGUAUCAGAAUGGAUAAAAAAAAAAACAAGGCCUAUCUAUUUUCUGUCUAUAAGAGACUCAUUUUAGACCUGAUGACACCUUAAGGUUGUGAGUAAGGAGAUGGAGAACUAUCUAUCGUGCUACUGGAGGUCAAAAGAAAGCUGGAGUAGCCAUACAUAUACCAGACAAACUAGACUUUCAAUUAAAGACUGUAAAAUGAGAUGAAGAAGAGCAUUAUCUAACAAUUCCAGGAUCUAUCCAUCAGGUAGAGCUAACAAUUAUAAAUGUAUUUGCAUGGAAUUCGAUAGCACCCAUAUAUAUAAAACAGUUAAUCACAGACAUAAGCAACCCUAUUGAUAAGAACAUAGUAAUUGCAGGGGACUUUAAUACUCCACUUACAACAAUCGACAGAUCAUCUAGACAGAGAAUCAAUAAAGAAACAAGGGCCCUGAAUGAUACAUUGGAUCAGAUGAACUUGACAGAUAUAUUUAGAACUCUUCAUUGCAAAGCAGCUGAAUAUACUUUCUUCUCGAGUGCAGGAUACAAAAUCAAUGCACAGAAAUCAGUUGAAUUCUUAUACACUAAUAAUGAAGCAACAGAAAGACAAAUAAAGAAACUGAUCCCAUUCACAAUUGCACCAAGAAGCAUAAAAUACCUAGGAAUAAACCUAACCAAAGAUGUAAAUGAUAUGUAUGCUGAAAACUAUAGAAAGCUGAUGAAGGAAAUUGAAGAAGAAAUAUAUAAAUGGAAAAACAUUCUGUGCUCAUGGAUUGGAAGAAUAAAUAUUGUUAAAAUGUCAAUAUUACCCUAAGCAAUCUAUACAUUCAAUGCAAUCCCAAUCAAAACUGCACCAACAUUCUUCUUGAAGCUAAAACAAGCAAUCCUAAAAUUUUUAUGGAACCACAGAAGACCUAGAAUAGCCAAAGUAAUUUUGAAGAAGAAGACCAUAGCAGGAGGCAUCAGAAUCCCAGACUUUAGCCUCUACUACAAAGCUGUAAUCAUCAAGACAGCAUUGUAUUGGCACAAAAAUAGACACAUAGACCAAUGGAAUAGAAUGGAGGCUCCAGAAUUGGACCCACAGAAGUAUGGCCAACUAAUAUUUAACAAAGCAGGAAAGAAUAUCCAAUGGAAAAAAGAGUCUUUUUAACAAAUCGUGCUGGGAGAACUGGACAGCAACAUGCAGAAAAAAGAAACUAUACCACUUUUUGACACCAUUCACAAAAAUAAAGUCAAAAUGGAUAAAGAACUUGAAUGUGAGACAGGAAACCAUCAAAACCUUAGAGGAGAAAUCAGGAAAAAACUCUCUGACCUCAGCUACAGCAAUUUCUUACUUGACACAUCUCCAAAGGCAAGGCAAUUAAAUACAAAAAUGAACUAUUGGGACCUCACAAAGAUAGGUCCUCUUCACUGCAAAGGAAACAAUCAGCAAAACUAAAAGGCAACCAAUGGAAUGCGAAAAUAUAUUUACAAAUGACAUCCAAAAAUCUAUAAAGAAGUCACCAAACUCCACACUCGAAAAGCAAAUAAUCCAUUGUAGAAAUGGGCAGAAAACAUGAAUAGACACUUCUCUAAAGAAGACAUCCAGAUGGCCAAAAGGCAUAUGAAAAGAUUCUCAACAUCACUCCUCAUCUGGGAAAUACAAAUCAAAACCACACUCAGAUACCAACUCACACCCGUCAGAGUGGCUAAAAUGAACAAUUCAGGAGUGUAUAGAUGCUGGCUAUGAUGUCGAGAAACGGGAACCCUCUUGCACUGUUGCUGGGAAUGCAAACUGGUGCAGCCCCUCUGGAAAACAGUGUGGAGAGUCCUCAAAAAAUUACAAAUAGACCUACCCUAUGACCCAGCCAUAGCACUGCUAAGAUUUUACCAAAGGGAUAUCGGAGUGCUGAUGCAUGGGGGGACUUGUAACCCAAUGUUUACAGCAGCAGUUUCAACAAUAGGCAAAUUAUGGAAAAAGCCUAAAUAUCCAGAAACUAAUGAAUGGAUAAAGAAGAUGUGGCUUGUAUAUACAAUGGAAAUUUACUUGGCAAUGAGAAAGAAUGAAAUCUGGCCCUUUGUAGCUACAUGGAUGCAACUAGAGAGUAUUAGGCUAAGUGAAAUAAGUCAGGCAGUGAAAGACAGAUACCAUAUGUUUUUACUCAUGUAUGGAUUCUGAGAAACUAAACAGAAUACCAUGGGGGAGGGGAAGGGGGAAAAUAGUUACAGAGAGGGAAGGAGGAAAAUCAUAAGAGACUCUUAAAUAUUGGGAACAAACUGAGGGUUGAUGGGGGCUGGGGGAAGUGGAUGAUGAACAUUGAAGAUGGCACCUGUUGGGAUGAGCACUGGGUGUUGCACGGAAAC